UCCCCACGGUCCGCGCCUCCCUCCCCUCCGGCUAGAUUCUCUGUUCCCAGCCUCUACCACCCGCUCGCAACCCCACCUCCGUGGCUAGGGUUUCGGACAUGGCUUCAACGGCACGUCUCCGGCGGCCCUAGGUUAUGCAGUACUUGAAACACUUUAAUUAGAGGAAUUAGAGUUACAAAGUUCUGACUCGGUUCAUGGGGCAAUCUGAAAGAGAACUUGGUGAUGUCAAGUAAUUCUAAGAGCAUAGGCAUUAUCCUUUUUUUAAAUAAUGGUAAGAGCAUAGAUCCCAUCGACCAGGAAUUAAUCCAUCAGGCAAGCAGAAGACUGAACGAAACAGUACCUUCAUAUAUUAUUUCCAAGACCAUAAAUGUUGUUUUCUUUACUGUAAGGAACCAGCUUAAGGCCUUUAUGCAUUGAACGAACUACCAAGAUUUUUCUAUCUUCAUGUAUGAUCCAUCUUGCAUAGACACAUGCGUAGCAAUGGGAUACUAUUUGGUAUGAACAACAUCAUUAUCUUGCAAUUCUAACAUGUAUGCAUUUAACUUAUUUACACACAUAAUAGUGAUGCAUCUUGCGUAUCUGCUUAUUGUAUCUGAAUCUUCAAUGCAAUUAACUGCUUAAUUAGACAGCAGCAGGAUUGAGCGAUCUGGCAUAUAAGCUUUGCUCAGUGGUUCAGAUUAUCACAGUUAGUCUUCUGGUCUUGUCAAGUUUUUAGACUUAUUGAGGUCGCUCAACCAAUCUGGCGUAAAGCUAUGAAAAGAUUUUGCUUGGAAAGAUUACUGAAAGGAUACCUUCACUUCAUUUUAUCCCCUAGAUUAGUAUAAGUAUAUAUUAAGCCCCCGUUUAUUUAGAUGUAUAGCUUGCAUGGCAGUCUUGUUUAAACAGAUUUUUGGGGCAUUAAGCAAUGCAUACUCUGCUCACCAUUUUUCUCAUGUGUGUUGUUAGCCAAGCACUUGCUUUUCAAGAUAUCCUUUCCGAUGUUAGGCUGGGCUGCGUGAUUCGUCGAUGUCUGCUCAAUACAGUUGUGGUGAUCCCGGUGACGAGGACAUUAGGGACAUCGGCCCGGCGGAGUCUGGUGAGUCAGCUAUGAAGCCAAAUCCGCAGUCACCAAGGACCAGGGUGGAUCGAGAGAGUUCUUGUGGGAGCGAAUCCUACAGAGCGAACCCUAUGCCCCGUUAGUAUGGGUACUCUUGAGAAGUCCAUAAGGGCUUUCACAGAGGCAUGUAGAAGAGGUCGUUAAGCCGGAGUUGGGCACCACAUUUGCCUCGCUGACAGAGGCAUACGUCUUUUACAACCUGUAUUAGUGGGAAAAUGGGUUUAGUAUCAGGCAUGGGAAGAGCCGAUUGAAUCCCGACAAGCGGAAGACCAUGCAAGAGACUGUUUGUGGUUGCUCAGUAUGUAUAUCAAUUAAAAAUUCAGUUCUCCUUCACAUUUGCGCUGGAUGGAGGGUCUGGUCUGAUGAUAAAACAUCUGUUGGAGCAGGGGGAGGCUUUGCGUGAGAAUACAAGGUUGUGCCGCUGUGAGUGUCCUGCGAUGAUA